rnacentral:misc_RNA from 1 species
AUGAAUAAACUUGGUCGAGCUGUUGCUGGUCCCUUGGGAUAUGUGCACGCUUGCCACCAAUUUUAACCACCUGUGCACUUUUUGUAGACUGGAAACGUUUCUCGAGGCAACUCGGAUUGAGAACUGCUGAGCGAAAGCCGGCUGUUCUUGUGUUUCUCAGUCUAUACCUUCAUAUACUCCGAACGUAUGUAUAAGAAUGUAUUGACAGGCCUUAGUGCCUCUAAACCUAAUA